GGAUAUGAGGGCAAUCUGGCCAUGACAUCUGUCACCUCAUGGAUCUCCAGGGUUGAUGUGCCUGAUCUGGCUGGCUAGACGAGUGUCCCCUUCCUCCCUCACCACUCCACAUGUAUCCUUCCCAUAACUGCAUGCUCAGUCUAAGAAAUGACCUUCCCUGAGAGGGGAUCUUUUUUUGGUCAAGGAUAUGCAAGUAGCUGCACUCUCCUAGUAGAACUCCAAACAAGCUCUUGAUGUCCAUUUGUAGGAGAAUAUAGGGUAGUCAAGCUUCCAAGACUCUACACAUCUAAAUGAGGCACUGCAUGUGGCAGUCUGCCUUUCUUU
ensembl:misc_RNA 7SK 7SK RNA